rnacentral:rRNA from 1 species
ACGCACGCUGGCGGCGUGCUUAACACAUGCAAGUCGAACGGAAAGGCCCUUCGGGGUACUCGAGUGGCGAACGGGUGAGUAACACGUGGGUGAUCUGCCCUGCACUUUGGGAUAAGCCUGGGAAACUGGGUCUAAUACCGAAUAGGACCACGCGCUUCAUGGUGUGUGGUGGAAAGCUUUUGCGGUGUGGGAUGGGCCCGCGGCCUAUCAGCUUGUUGGUGGGGUAAUGGCCUACCAAGGCGACGACGGGUAGCCGGCCUGAGAGGGUGACCGGCCACACUGGGACUGAGAUACGGCCCAGACUCCUACGGGAGGCAGCAGUGGGGAAUAUUGCACAAUGGGCGCAAGCCUGAUGCAGCGACGCCGCGUGAGGGAUGACGGCCUUCGGGUUGUAAACCUCUUUCAAUAGGGACGAAGCGCAAGUGACGGUACCUAUAGAAGAAGCACCGGCCAACUACGUG